GAUGAAGAACGCAUCGAAAUGCGAUACCUGGUGUGAAUUGCAGAAUCCCGCGAACCAUCGAGUCUUUGAACGCAAGUUGCGCCCGAGGCCACCCGGCCGAGGGCACGCCUGCCUGGGCGUCACGCCAAAACACGCUCCCACCCCCCCUCACCGGGGGAGCGGGACGCGGCGUCUGGCCCCCCGUGCCGCGAGGCGCGGUGGGCCGAAGAUCGGGCUGCCGGCGUACCGUGCCGGGCACAGCGCGUGGUGGAUCUCUACUCGGCGCAGUGCACCCGGCGCGUAGCCGGCGCAGCGGCCCCUAAGGACCCAACGAACGGAGCGCGAGCCGCUCCGACCGCGACCCCAGGUCAGGCGGGACUACCCGCUGAGUUUAAGCAUAUCAAUAAGCGGAGGA
rnacentral:misc_RNA from 1 species